rnacentral:tRNA from 1 species
GCUGGGGAUAUAACUUGAUUGGUAGGGUGCUUGCCUCGAAUGCACAAGGCCCUGGGUUCAAUCCCCAGCAGCA